UUAGGGUUAAUAUGCGCAGUAUAUAUUCAUCCGUGUGGAGGUCAGAAAUACAGUUUCACUCAGACUUUUGCCAUUCAGUUGAUAGUUAACGCUAGUUACACUGAAGGUAAAAAUCUCCACAAUGAAACAGCACAAACUAUCAACAGGAAAGCGUUUGACAAAGCCGAUACUUUUCGGGACGUUGCUCGUAGGUUUGGCCACGGCAUUUAUGAACAGGCAUUUGUUCAUGGAGGAUGUGUCAGAUCUCAGAGAGCAGGAAAGAUCCCGUCAUGAGGCCAAACGUCUGGAGGUGCUGGAAAGAAGGCAGAAACAAAUGGAGGAACUUGCAAGUAAGAGUGCAGGCGGCAGGUGAGACGACUGACACACACCUGCAGGAAACCACCACUGAAGAAAACAAACACAGGACCUUUUUUGCCAAUAUCAUUUCGGGAAGUGUUCUUUGAGUCCUCGGUUGUUGCUAAUAUCGGACUGAUGAUGCUUUGAGUGAUGUAGAAAGAAAGUCAAGUAUAGCCAACGUAGUAUUGUACAGUGUAUAUAUAUACAUGUUUUGCUGACAAUUAUGGUUUUAACUGGUUGCCUUGAUUAUAUUUUGUAAGAUGUGGUUAAGGCAUUGAUAAGAUGCAAUUGGUGUAAAUCGUAGGCCAAAUAUGUGUUCCUAAAAUGUACGGCACUGACAAAAACUAUGUGGAUUGAAUUAGAGGGGAAACAUAUUGAUUAAAAUAUUCAUUUCUUUAAAUAAAAAGCCUACACAUUUCUGUUUUUUUUGAUUAAUUAAAAAUCGUUAGACGGUACUUUAUAAUGUUGUCUAAACAUAUACAGUGCAAACAUUUUAAAUCAUUGAAAUAAACCUGUUUAACAUGU